rfam:Triticum aestivum genome assembly, contig: Triticum_aestivum_CS42_TGACv1_scaffold_624985_7DS
AAUAUACUUCCUCCGUUCCGAAUUACUUGUCGCGGGUAUGGAUGUAUCUAGAUGUAUUUUAGUUCUAGAUACAUACAUUUCUGCGACGAGUAAUUUGGAAUGGAGGGAGUAGUAG